CACCACCCAGUGUAUAUCACCACCACUCCGUGUUUACCACCACCACUCCGUGUAUACCACCACCACCCUGUGUAUAUCAUCACCUCCCUGUGUAUACUACCACUACCACAUUGUGUAUACAACCACCACCCUGUGUAUGCAACCACCACCCUGUGUAUACCACCACCACCCUGUGUAUACCACCACCACCCUGUGUAUACCAUCACCUCCCUGUGUAUACCAUCACCUCCCUGUAUAUAUCAUCACCUCCCUGUGUGUACCACCACUACCACAUUGUGUAUUUCACCAAACCACCCCAAUGUGUGUACCACCACCAUCAACCACACUAUCUGUACCACCAACCUGUUUAUACUAACACCACCCUGGUGUUGCCAUCAUCACUCUCCGAGUGCCACUAUCACCACCCUGUGCGUAUCACCACCACCACCCAGUGUGUACCAUCACCACCACCACCAUGUGCAUAACACCUUGUGUACAGUAUAUCACCACCACCGCGUGGCCACAUGAUCACACAUCUUCACGUGUCACCCCAUAAUAACACAGCCGGCGGGCGUUUCCCGUUUUCUUUGGCUCAGUUUUUGUAAAUUGUUUCUAGUAUAAUCUGGUAAUUGUUAUGACCUCCCUAACUCCCUUCAUGUGCUUACUUCACCCUAUGGUAAUUUAUUUGUUUCUUAAUGACGAAGGAAAUUAACGCUGAUAUUUACUUGUUUCUUUGUUUGAAAAGAAAUUAUUUUUGAUUUAUUUACUUUUAAAGUUUUUUUUGUGGGGGGGGGGGAAUAAUUCUUUAAAUAUUUUUGUAAUUUAUAAUAUAGUUUUCCUCUGAUAAUCUUCUUUUUUUUAUAUAGAAAACCUUGUUGAGAAGUGAUCAAGGACAACUGCAGGUGUGGUGGUGACCCUGUAUAAUAUUUCACUGACUGUUCGGUCUUAUUUACAACAAUUGAGAUGAAAGUUGGAACAAAUAAAACUUGCUGUAUGACUCACACACUGGGUUUAAUAAGAGAGAGAGAGAGAGAUGCGGAUUUUUUUUACCAUUCUAUAGGGGUCAAAGGUCACCUGCAAGUCAUAUUGGCGUCGUGUGUGUGUGUGUAAACGAAUCAGUAGAUCUUGAGGUCAGAGUAGUUAGAUUGAUAACUAAAAACCGAUUAAAUGUGGCGAUUUGGCGGCCAUAUUUCAUAAAUUUUAUUCUCACCCCCACACACACACAUUUUUUUAGUUAAUAAGGACACUCGGGUAUGUAUCGUGAGUUCGGCGUUUAGUCAUCUUUGUUUACGUCUGAUCUGUUGUUGUUAUUCUACUUUUAUCUGUAUUCUUCUUCUUAUUAUUAUUAUUAUUAUUAUUAUUAUUAUUAUUAUUAUUAUUAUUAUUAUUAUUGUAACAUUGGGUACCCAUUAUACACCUUCCAGGUCUGGUCACGUCUGGCUCUUUACACAGUGAUUCAUCUUUCUCAUAAACUUGACUCGUGUACUCACAUACCUGACUGUCACGUGUUUACAAGCCUGACUCACGCUCACUAGCCGGAUGUUCAUGUGACAUAAAUCCCAACCACGUGUGUGUGUGUGUGUGUGUGUGUGUGUGUGUGUGUGUGUGUGUGUGUGUGUGUGUGUGGUAAACUGCUUCACAUAUUGGGUUGAAACUACCGCCGGUGACACCGGUAGAGUAUUUAUAUUUCACGUAACGCAAGUUAAACUAACCUAACCUUACCCAUUCUAACCUAAUUUAUGGAUGACUAAGCUUAACCUAUCUUAAUCAAGCCUAACUUUAGCAUAGCUGAACGUUACUUAACAAACAAACGUAACUUAACCAAACCCACCUAAACUACUAUAACAUAACACAGCUAUAGUUAAUCUCACCAAACUUAAUCUAACCGAACUUUUCUAACCUAACCUAAUUCAGUCACACGUAAACUAACCUGACCAGGCCAGAUUAAAUAUGUUUACGUAACAUUGGGUUAGAUUAGGAUAGUUUAGGUUGGAUUGCGUUACGCUCGUUUAGAUUUGGUUAGGUUAUGUUAGAUUAGGUUAAAUUAAGGUAGUUUAAGCUAGAUUUGAUGAAAUUAGGUUAGGUUAGGUUAGGUUAGGUUAGGUUAGGUUAGGUUUGUUCGUGUCGUUUGAAAUUUGAUGGUUUAGCGAUACAUUAUUAUUAUUAUUAUUAUUAUUAUUAUUAUUAUUAUUAUUAUUAUUAUUAUUAUUAGUAUUAUUAUUAUGUGAGGAUUGAUAUCGUCUGUGUCAAAGUGUUAGAAAAUAUAAUUGUUAAAAUAUUGUCGUCCUUCUGUUAGAAUGGUAUAAAUUAGCUUAUUGUCGUAAAUGUGACGUUAAUUAUGCUAGUAGUAGAUAAUUUAUAGAAUUUAUAUAUGUUAGUAUUGUUUGUAUAGUGUUGUUGUUUCCCUUAGAAUGAUGUAAUUGAUUUGUAGUGUUAAUAUUUUUUUGAGAAUUGUAAAUAGUAUUUAUUGUUAACGUGGUAUUGGUACUCCUCUUGUUAAUAUAGAAUUAGUCAUUGUUAACAUGGUGUGGUUGGCUGUGUUCUAUGUUAACACUGAGUAUAUUGUUAUGUAGAUAUGUUGUGUCGACUUAAUCAGAUUUUAGAUAAAAUUGACGUGAAAGAAU